rnacentral:rRNA from 1 species
AGCAGCCGCCGCGGUAAUACGAAGGGUGCAAGCGUUACUCGGAAUUACUGGGCGUAAAGCGUGCGUAGGUGGUGGUUUAAGUCCGUUGUGAAAGCCCUGGGCUCAACCUGGGAAUUGCAGUGGAUACUGGGUCACUAGAGUGUGGUAGAGGAUAGUGGAAUUCCCGGUGUAGCAGUGAAAUGCGUAGAGAUCGGAAGGAACAUCUGUGGCGAAGGCGACUAUCUGGGCCAACACUGACACUGAGGCACGAAAGCGUGGGGAGCAAACAGGAUUAGAUACCCCCGUAGUCCCUGUCUCUUAUAC